UACAGAGGGUGCUAGCGUUGUUCGGAAUCAUUGGGCGUAAAGGGCGCGUAGGCGGGUCCGGCAGUCAGGGGUGAAAUCCCACGGCCCAACCGUGGAAGUGCCUCUGAUACUUCGGACCUCGAGGGAGGUAGGGGCGUGCGGAACUCAGGGUGGAGCGGUGAAAUGCGUAGAUAUCCUGAGGAACACCGGUGGCGAAAGCGGCGCGCUGGAGCUCUUCUGACGCUGAGGCGCGAAAGCCAGGGGAGCAAACGGG
rnacentral:rRNA from 1 species